rnacentral:rRNA from 1 species
GACGAACGCUGGCGGCGUGCUUAACACAUGCAAGUCGAACGGAAAGGCCCCUUUGGGGGUACUCGAGUAGCGAACGGGUGAAUAACACGUGAGCAACCUGCCCUUGACUUCGGGAUAACUUCAGGAAACUGGGGCUAAUACCGGAUAGGAAUCCUUGCUGCAUGGUGGGGGUUGGAAAGCUUCGGCGGUUUUGGAUGGACUCGCGGCUUAUCAGCUUGUUGGUGGGGUAGUGGCUUACCAAGGCUUUGACGGGUAGCCGGCCUGAGAGGGCGACCGGCCACAUUGGGACUGAGACACGGUCCAGACUCCUACGGGAGGCAGCAGUGGGGAAUAUUGCACAAUGGGCGGAAGCCUGAUGCAGCAACGCCGCGUGCGGGAUGACGGCCUUCGGGUUGUAAACCUCUUUCAGCAGGGGCGAAGCUUUUGUGACGGUACCUGCAGAAGAGGUAGCGGCUAAGUACGUG